rnacentral:rRNA from 1 species
AGUCACCUGACAUUAGAUACCCCUGUAGUCCAGGGUGUAAACGCUGCAGACUUGGUGUUGGAAGCCCUUUGGGGGCAUUCAGUGCCGGAGAGAAGUUGUUAAGUCUGCUACUUGGGGAGUACGUCCGCAAGGAUGAAACUUAAAGGAAUUGGCGGGGGAGCACCGCAACGGGAGGAGCGUGCGGUUUAAUUGGAUUCAACACCGUAAAACUCACCAGGGAAGACUGUUACAUGAAAGCCGAGAUGAAGACCCUGCUAGAUUUUUCAG